CCUACGGGUGGCUGCAGUGGGGAAUAUUGGACAAUGGGGGGAACCCUGAUCCAGCCAUGCCGCGUGUGUGAAGAAGGCCCUCGGGUUGUAAAGCACUUUCAGUGAGGAAGAACGCCUGGUGGUUAAUACCCAUCAGGAAAGACAUCACUCACAGAAGAAGCACCGGCUAACUCCGUGCCAGCAGCCGCGGUAAUACGGAGGGUGCGAGCGUUAAUCGGAAUUACUGGGCGUAAAGCGCGCGUAGGUGGCUUGAUAAGCCGGUUGUGAAAGCCCCGGGCUCAACCUGGGAACGGCAUCCGGAACUGUCAAGCUUGAGUGCAGGAGAGGAAGGUGGAAUUCCCGGUGUAGCGGUGAAAUGCGUAGAGAUCGGGAGGAAUACCAGUGGCGAAGGCGGCCUUCUGGACUGACACUGACACUGAGGUGCGAAAGCGUGGGUAGCAAACAGGAUUAGAUACCCCGGUAGUC
rnacentral:rRNA from 1 species